rnacentral:rRNA from 1 species
GACGAACGCUGGCGGCGUGCUUAACACAUGCAAGUCGAACGGAAAGGCCCUGCUUUUGUGGGGUGCUCGAGUGGCGAACGGGUGAGUAACACGUGAGUAACCUGCCCUUGACUUUGGGAUAACUUCAGGAAACUGGGGCUAAUACCGGAUAGGAGCUCCUGCUGCAUGGUGGGGGUUGGAAAGUUUCGGCGGUUGGGGAUGGACUCGCGGCUUAUCAGCUUGUUGGUGGGGUAGUGGCUUACCAAGGCUUUGACGGGUAGCCGGCCUGAGAGGGUGACCGGCCACAUUGGGACUGAGAUACGGCCCAGACUCCUACGGGAGGCAGCAGUGGGGAAUAUUGCACAAUGGGCGGAAGCCUGAUGCAGCAACGCCGCGUGCGGGAUGACGGCCUUCGGGUUGUAAACCGCUUUCGCCUGUGACGAAGCGUGAGUGACGGUAAUGGGUAAAGAAGCACCGGCUAACUACGUGCCAGCAGCCGCGGUGAUACGUAGGGUGCGAGCGUUGUCCGGAUUUAUUGGGCGUAGAGGGCUCGUAGGUGGUUGAUCGCGUCGGAAGUGUAAUCUUGGGGCUUAACCCUGAGCGUGCUUUCGAUACGGGUUGACUUGAGGAAGGUAGGGGAGAAUGGAAUUCCUGGUGGAGCGGUGGAAUGCGCAGAUAUCAGGAGGAACGCCAGUGGCGAAGGCGGUUCUCUGGGCCUUUCCUGACGCUGAGGAGCGAAAGCGUGGGGAGCGAACAGGCUUAGAUACCCUGGUAGUCCACGCUGUAAACGGUGGGUACUAGGUGUGGGGUCCAUUCCACGGGUUCCGUGCCGUAGCUAACGCUUUAAGUACCCCGCCUGGGGAGUACGGCCGCAAGGCUAAAACUCAAAGGAAUUGACGGGGCCCCGCACAAGCGGCGGAGCAUGCGGAUUAAUUCGAUGCAACGCGUAGAACCUUACCUGGGUUUGACAUGGAUCGGGAGUGCUCAGAGAUGGGUGUGCCUCUUUUGGGGUCGGUUCACAGGUGGUGCAUGCCUGUCGUCAGCUCGUGUCGUGAGAUGUUGGGUUAAGUCCCGCAACGAGCGCAACCCUUGUUCACUGUUGCCAGCACGUUAUGGUGGGGACUCAGUGGAGACCGCCGGGGUCAACUCGGAGGAAGGUGGGGAUGACGUCAAGUCAUCAUGCCCCUUAUGUCCAGGGCUUCACGCAUGCUACAAUGGCUGGUACAGAGAGUGGCGAGCCUGUGAGGGUGAGCGAAUCUCGGAAAGCCGGUCUCAGUUCGGAUUGGGGUCUGCAACUCGACCUCAUGAAGUCGGAGUCGCUAGUAAUCGCAGAUCAGCAACGCUGCGGUGAAUACGUUCCCGGGGCU